rnacentral:rRNA from 1 species
UAUGUGAUCGUCUCUCGCAUAUCAAUAAGCGGAGGAAAAGAAACUAACAAGGAUUCCCCUAGUAACGGCGAGUGAAGCGGGAAGAGCUCAAAUUUGAAAUCUUAAAGGGUUUCCCUUUACGAAUUGUAGUUUAAAGAAGUGUUUUCUGUUGAGGUUUUGGUAAAAGUUCUUUGGAAUAGGACAUCAUAGAGGGUGAGAAUCCCGUAUUUGACCUUUACUUUCAACUUUGUGAUACACUUUCAAAGAGUCGGAUUGUUUGGGAAUGCAGUCCAAAAUGGGUGGUAAAUUUCAUCUAAAGCUAAAUAUUGGCGAGAGACCGAUAGCGAACAAGUACCGUGAGGGAAAGAUGAAAAGAACUUUGAAAAGAGAGUUAAACAGUACGUGAAAUUGUCAAAAGGGAAGCGUUUGACACCAGUGUUGUUUUUCUGAAAAUCAAUUAAGGAACUGUUUAUGCUAAGUUGUUUAGACUUUAUCAGCUAUCUGUUUAGUUUUGAGCUUUUCUUUAAUGCACUUUUCAGUUAACAAGUCAACAUCAAUUUCUUUUGCUGUAAAAAAGCUUGAGGAAGGUGGCUUGAGAUUCGUCUUAAGUGUUUAUAGCCUCUUGCCUAUGCAGUCGGAGAGAUUGAGGUCUGCAGCGUAGAUCCUUCGGGGCUAAAUGCAUUUGUGCCUAAGUUAUAGCAUUUUAUAGACAACUUGUUGACUAUGAUUUGUCUUGUAGCUUACUCGCUUAUGUUAUUUUACCUACGCUUAGGAUGUUGACUGAUAUGUAGUCGUA